rnacentral:rRNA from 1 species
UACGGAGGGUGCAAGCGUUAUCCGGAUUCACUGGGUUUAAAGGGUGCGUAGGUGGGUUGAUAAGUCAGUGGUGAAAUCCCCGAGCUUAACUUGGGAACUGCCAUUGAUACUAUUGAUCUUGAAUACCGUGGAGGUCAGCGGAAUAUGUCAUGUAGCGGUGAAAUGCUUAGAUAUGACAUAGAACACCAAUUGCGAAGGCAGCUGGCUAACGCGAAUAUUGACACUGAUGCACGAAAGCGUGGGGAUCAAACAGG